rnacentral:rRNA from 1 species
GAACGUACGCUGGCGGCACGCCUAACACAUGCAAGUCGAACGAAGUAGCAAUACUUAGUGGCAGACGGGUGAGUAACAUGUAGGUAUCUGCCCUUUGGCCUGGAAUAACACGAGGAAACUUGUGCUAAUACCGGAUAAGUCUUUACGGAGAAAGCUUUAUGCACCAUUGGAUGAGCCUGCACUUGAUUAGUUUGUUGGUGGGGUAAUGGCCUACCAAGACUGUGAUCAAUAGCUGAUUUGAGAGGAUGAUCAGCCACAUUGGGACUGAGACACGGCCCAAACUCCUACGGGAGGCAGCAGUGGGGAAUCUUGCACAAUGGAGGAAACUCUGAUGCAGCGAUGCCGCGUGAGUGAAGAAGGCCUUUGGGUUGUAAAGCUCUUUCGUCGGGGAAGAAAAUGACUGUACCCGAAUAAGAAGGUCCGGCUAACUUCGUGCCAGCAGCCGCGGUAAUACGAAGGGACCUAGCGUAGUUCGGAAUUACUGGGCUUAAGGAGUUCGUAGGUGGUUGAAAAAGUUAGUGGUGAAAUCCCAGAGCUUAACUCUGGAACUGCCAUUAAAACUUUUCAGCUAGAGUAUGAUAGAGGAAAGCAGAAUUUCUAGUGUAGAGGUGAAAUUCGUAGAUAUUAGAAAGAAUAUCAAUUGCGAAGGCAGCUUUCUGGAUCAUUACUGACACUGAGGAACGAAAGCAUGGGUAGCGAAGAGGAUUAGAUACCCUCGUAGUCCAUGCCGUAAACGAUGUGUGUUAGACGUUGGAAAUUUAUUUUCAGUGUCGCAGGGAAACCGAUAAACACACCGCCUGGGGAGUACGACCGCAAGGUUAAAACUCAAAUGAAUUGACGGGGACCCGCACAAGUAGUGGAGCAUGUGGUUUAAUUCGAAGAUACGCGCAGAACCUUACCAACACUUGACAUGUUCGUCGCAACUCUAAGAGAUUAGAGUUUUCGGUUCGGCCGGACGAAACACAGGUGCUGCAUGGCUGUCGUCAGCUCGUGUCGUGAGAUGUUGGGUUAAGUCCCGCAACGAGCGCAACCCUCACUUUUAGUUGCCAUCAUUAAGUUGGGCACUCUAAAAGAACUGCCAGUGAUAAGCUGGAGGAAGGUGGGGAUGACGUCAAGUCCUCAUGGCCCUUACGUGUUGGGCUACACACGUGCUACAAUGGUAUCUACAACAGGAAGCAAGACGGCGACGUCAAGCAAAUCCCUAAAAGAUACCUCAGUUCGGAUUGCACUCUGCAACUCGAGUGCAUGAAGCUGGAAUUACUAGUAAUCGUGGAUCAGCGUGCCACGGUGAAUGCGUUCCCGGGUCUUGUACUCACCGCC